GACGAACGCUGGCGGCGUGCUUAACACAUGCAAGUCGAACGGUGAAGCGCCUUCCUUUUUGGUGGGUGUGGAUGAGUGGCGAACGGGUGAGUAACACGUGAGUAACCUGCCCCCUUCUUCUGGAUAACCGCAUGAAAGUGUGGCUAAUACGGGAUAUUCUGGGUCUGUCGCAUGAUGGGUCUGGGAAAGAUAUUGUUUCGGUGGGGGAUGGGCUCGCGGCCUAUCAGCUGGUUGGUGGGGUGAUGGCCUACCAAGGCGGUGACGGGUAGCCGGCCUGAGAGGGUGGACGGUCUCACUGGGACUGAGACACGGCCCAGACUCCUACGGGAGGCAGCAGUGGGGAAUAUUGCACAAUGGGCGCAAGCCUGAUGCAGCGACGCCGCGUGAGGGAUGGAGGCCUGCGGGUUGUGAACCUCUUUCGCCAGUGAAGCAGGCCUGCCUCGUUUGUGGGUGGGUUGACGGUAGCUGGAUAAGAAGCGCCGGCUAACUACGUG
rnacentral:rRNA from 1 species